GACGAACGCUGGCGGCGUGCCUAAUACAUGCAAGUUGAGCGCUGAAGGUUGGUACUUGUACCGACUGGAUGAGCAGCGAACGGGUGAGUAACGCGUGGGGAAUCUGCCUUUGAGCGGGGACAACAUUUGGAAACGAAUGCUAAUACCGCAUAAAAACUUUAAACACAAGUUUUCAGUUUGAAAGAUGCAAUUGCAUCACUCAAAGAUGAUCCCGCGUUGUAUUAGCUAGUUGGUGAGGUAAAGGCUCACCAAGGCGAUGAUACAUAGCCGACCUGAGAGGGUGAUCGGCCACAUUGGGACUGAGACACGGCCCAAACCCCUAGGGGAGGCAGCAGUAGGGAAUCUUCGGCAAUGGACGAAAGUCUGACCGUGCAACGCCGCGUGAGUGAAGAAGGUUUUCGGAUCGUAAAACUCUGUUGGUAGAGAAGAACGUUGGUGAGAGUGGAAAGCUCAUCAAGUGACGGGAACUACCCAGAAAGGGACGGCUAACUACGUG
rnacentral:rRNA from 1 species